rnacentral:rRNA from 1 species
AUUGAACGCUGGCGGCAGGCCUAACACAUGCAAGUCGAACGAGUUGCGAACGGGUGAGUAACGCGUGGUAACCUGCCUCAUAGCGGGGGAUAACUAUUGGAAACGAUAGCUAAUACCGCAUACUGUGAGAUGGACCUGCGUUGUAUUAGCUAGUUGGUGAGGUAAAGGCUCACCAAGGCGACGAUACAUAGCCGACCUGAGAGGGGGAUCGUCCACACGUGGACUGAGACACGGUCCAGACUCCUACGGUAGGCAGCAGUGGGGAAUAUUGCACAAUGGGCGCAAGCCUGAUGCAGCCAUGCCGCGUGUAUGAAGAAGGCCUUCGGGUUGUAAAGUACUUUCAGCGGGGAGGAGUUACCCGAAGAAGAAGCACCGGCUAACUCCGUGCCAGCAGCCGCGGUAAUAC